rnacentral:rRNA from 1 species
GUUUGAUCCUGGCUCAAAAUCAACGCUGGCGGCGUGCCUCAAACAUGCAAGUCAAACAAUUAAUACUUUCUUCGGAGAGUGUAUAAGGUGGCGCACGGGUGAGUAACACGUAGGUAAUCUGCCUUUGAGUGGGGAAUAACGUUCGGAAACGAACGCUAAUACCGCAUAAUGCAGCGGCACCGCAAGGUGAAUAGUUGUUAAAGCGAGCAAUCGCGCUUAAAGAGGAGCCUGCGGCAUAUUAGCUAGUUGGUAAGGUAAUGGCUUACCAAGGCGACUAUCUGUAACCGACCUGAGAGGGUGGUCGGUCACACUGACACUGAAUAACGGGUCACACUCCUACGGGAGGCAGCAGUCGGUAUUUUUGGGCGAUGGGCGCAAGCCUGACCCACCACCGCCGCGUGAAGGAUGAAUUAUUUCGGUAUGUAAACUUCAAAAGAAUGGGAAGAAUCAAUGACGGUACCAUUUAUGAGGUCCGGCUAACUACGUGCCAGCAGCCGCGGUAAUACGUAGGGACCAUGCGUUGUUCUUAUUUACUGGGCGUAGAGGGCGCGUAGGCGGCGUGUUAAGUCAGCUGUGAAAUCUCCGAGCUUAACUCGGAGCGGUCAGCUGAUACUGAUGUGCUAGAGUGCAGAGGGGGCAAUCUUAUUUCUUGGUGUAGCGGUGAGAU